GGCGGCAUAGCCAAGCGGUAAGGCAAUGGUUUGCAAAACCAUCACCCCCGGUUCAAAUCCGGGUGCCGCCUCCA
rnacentral:tRNA from 3 species